AACUUUUGGCAACGGAUCUCUUGACUCUGGCAUCGAUGAAGAACGCAGCGAAAUGCGAUAAGUAAUGUGAAUUGCAGAAUUCAGUGAAUCAUCGAAUCUUUGAACGCACAUUGCGCCCGCUAGUACUCUAGCGGGCAUGCCUGUCCGAGCGUCAUUUCAACCCUCAAGCACUGCUUGGUGUUGGGGUACUACGGCUGCCGUAGGCCCUGAAAAGAAGUGGCGGGCUCGCUACAACUCCGAGCGUAGUAGAACUCUAUCUCGCUAGGGAGGUGCGGCGUGCUCCUGCCGUUAAAGACCCCCAUCUUUAACCAAGGUUGACCUCGGAUCAGGUAGGAAUACCCGCUGAACUUAAGCAUAUCAAUAAGCGGAGGCU
rnacentral:misc_RNA from 1 species